GGGUCGCGGGCCGCGGUGCCUCCAGAGCCUGUCAGCUGGGAGACGCCUGCGCGCUCCGCGGUCCGGAUAAGUGUGUCUGGGCGCUGGCAAGGCGAGGUCCAGUGCCGGCAGGCCGGCCGUCGGGUGGGCGAGCCCUCCCGGUCUCCAGGCGCAGGUGCUCAGCACCGCCGGGCGGUCUCGAAGCGAAGCAGGGCCGGGAGUGUUGAGGGCCGUCGCCUAGGCAGCUGGCAUAGACGAGCCCGGGCAGAGGGCGAGCAUCUGCUCCUACUCGGCCGGAGUCGGACUCCAGUUCUGGGGUCGCGACCUCAGUUUCUAAGCCAGCUGCUUUUCCUCUUGGUGUCCAGCUGAUGUGGCGACAGUGAGUUGCCAGCGCCCCUGAGCUACCCGUCCUGAGUCCAGCUUGAAAGCAAUUGUGAUUCAAAGUGCUCAGUCCAUCUUUACUAAGAAAGAAGCCCGCUCGUUGAGAACCCCCGAAGUACAGGUCUCUCCAGUUAAGGAGUAUGUACCCCUUAGUGUCGCUGUGGAACUCAGCGCUAGAGGAGGAUACAGUUACUGCUGGGCAAAGCCGCUUAUGGGAGUCUGCAGCUCAGCAUUUGAUGCUGCAGAAGCCUGCCCGGUGAGGAGAGGCAACUCUCUGAAAGUAAAAACAAUGUUAUGAGCAAAAUAAGACGUGUCCGUGGAUUUGAUCUCAAACACAGGCUACAGAUCUGUAACCUCAGUUCAAGCAAAUGUCCCUAGUUGCAAACUAAGGACCUGAGAGCAUCUUCUGGGUAGGGUCAGGUUAGGUGUAGUUAGGAAAAAGGUUUCUGGAGGUGCGUGCCCUCGGUCGGUGAAUUCCUUCUUUAGGAGUUAUCGAAUCUUCUCUAGGCCCUUUUGGGACCUAGAGUGGAGUGAGCACUAAUAAUAAUAAUAAUAAUAUGUUAUUUAGUCAUACCGUGUUAGCAGCCAGGAAAUACGUAAAUGGGCUCAUAUUCACCUGUUCCCACCCUUCUGCCCUCCAUAGGCUUGGACUUAGGGAGUUCAGAUAUUACAGAAACCUGAUCUUACAGAAAUGUUUAUUUUGCUGAACAUGAGAAGGGUCUGGAAAAUGCCCAGCUGUUGUGCCAAAAAGGAGAAAUGGGGUUUAAUGCAGUGACAGUGUGCUUCCCUAGUAUGCUUAAAGUCCUGGGGCACCUGAGGCGCAACAAAACAAACGGUGCCAUUUGGUUAGUUUUGCUGGCCGUGGUUGUUAGAGUUGAUAGUAUUAGCUAUCACAGGGUCAAAGCGGUUGUUUUCUGGGUUCCUGAGAGUCUUCUACCACCUUAUGUGGUUCCCUCUCUUUAAAGCCAAGACAGAGAACAUGUUUGGAGGCCCCAUGUAUUUUCAGGUUGAAUGAGAGUUUUACCGCUGAGAAUAUUUGGAAUCUGUGGACUUGGUGGAAUAGAGUAUUCCUUUGGUGCACCCCAGGACAGUCCUUGCUUGAGUAAUUGUUCUGUUUCCUUCACGCUUGAGUCUCAGACAGCCAGUUUCUUAUUUCCAGGAGCUGGCACUAGGUGUGUUUUCCAUUAUGCUGGCCAUUUAGUAUAAAACCUGUUUUCUCAUCUGGGAGAGGCCUGAGAAGGGCUGUAAGUCCAGAGGAUUGGACUCUUGUUGGUGCUGAGGCCGUGACUGGAGGGUGAGCCUCUCUGCUCUGGUGCCUCAUUCUGCCUUCCUUAGGUUUGAGUCACACCACAGGCAGGUAGCAAAGCCUGUAAGAACUCUUGAAAAGAAAAAUCAGGAGUCCAGGUCUAGCUUGAAGUGUAGUUCACUUGCCUUGCAUGUGUGAACCCCUGGGAUUCUGUCCCUUCCACUGCCAAAAAAGAAAAAAGAAAAAAAAGGAGGCUGAAACAAAAGGAUUGCUGAAUUUAAGGCUAUGCUGGACUACACAGAGUCUGACUGUGGAGCAAGACAUGAUGAAGACUGAGCUACUGCCUGCCCUGACUGACAACUGCACAACUGCAUGUACCCGGUCACUGAGGAGGACACCCAGGAGGCUGCCAUUGUAGACCCACUGCAACCCCAGAAGGUUAUAGAAACUGUGAAAAGCACCGUGUAAAGCUGACCACAGUGCUCACCACUCACCACCACUGGGUGGGACCUGCUGUUCACCGGGGAAGUCACUGUACACAGAAGGGGCAGACCCUUGAGCAGGGAAGGAUUCUAAGAACACACCAAGGCUCCUUCCUUCUUCCUCUUGGGUCACUGACCUCUGGGUUCCGCUAAUGCAGCAACUUCCAGUAACUACUGAAAACGUGGAGGAUUCUGGCUUUUCUAUCACCUUCUCAUGUGUAUGCCAUCGUCCAGCCCAAGGCUGAGCUACAGGUUUGGCCUGCGGCUCAAAGGACGAUCAAGUUGUGUUAUUGCUUGUUGGUAGCGACAUUUGAAAGGGACCACGCUGGUGGGACUGAGAAGCUGGUGAUGCUGCAGCCUGAGCUGCAGGUUUAUGGAGGUGAUGACCGCACUGGGGCCUUGACGCAUAAAGUCACACACCUUUCCACUGCAGGACAGAGUGUUACAUUUCAGCACUCAUGUGUGCUAGUGACGCUGUAUUUGUUCAGCAAGAGCAGAAAGACAACACCACAGUGUUCUAAUUAGCCAUCCAUAUGCCCUGGCUGAUGAGAUUUUCAAAAUUACAAACAGAGGCCACCCUUUCAGUAUAGUGACUGAAAAAUAUAGGUAAGAAGAUGAAUUUUACAAAAUGAUUUUAAGAGUUGUUUCCUAUGCAAAGCAGAACUGCAUAAGGUUAUUAAUUUUCACUGACUUUUAUAUGAAAUUGUAGUGAAUAUUCUGUUUGACCCUUCUCCUAGAGAGUCCAACACAAGUAACACUCACCGCUGUAACCUUAGGUAGAUAGGCAGAGGAGCCCGAGUCCUGAUGCGCUGAUGUGUAUUCCACUUGUUGCUGGUCCCCUGUCAUAGCAGAACCCUUUACCAGGCUCCACGCUGAGGUCAGGGGAGAAGAGUACAAGCCUCGUGUGCUCACGAGCUUCCAUCUGCAGCUGUGGCUCUAAUUGCAGAUGUUAGGAACAGAGCCAGGGUGGUGGGCCCUGAGUUCCAUCACUUCAAGGGAGAGAGGAAGGAGGAGAGCUGUGAGUUCAAGGUCAGGACUGCCCACGUAGCAAUACCUGGUUUAAAGUUAAACCAGGUAUUAGAAGUGGACAAAAUGAUGUUAACUAAAGAGCUGGAUGUUCUGGACAUUGAAAACCACAUGUUAAGAAUUCUUGAAUGAUUUGGGCACUCAAUGCACUUGAUGGAACUUAACAUGAAAUACCACAAAUUCUUUAUGUUCCCAGAGCCUUUCAUUGGUUUUUCACAAUAAAUUACAUAUAUCUCAAAAGAUUUAUUCCUGACAUGAACCAACUAUCCAUAUUAUUUGCAUAAAAGUGAAAAUGGUUUAAUAUUUAUGUAGAUAAUACAAAAGCCUUAUGUGUGCAUUUGAGGUAUGGUAAAAUAGUUGAGUUAUAUCUAAGUCUAAUUAGGAAAUUGAAAAACAUAUUUAUACGCUAAUUCCUGGCUUUCUGGAGUCUGAUUCCAGGUACUCAGUACUCAGGUGCCCGUAUAAACCGGAAACAAAAGGCCGACCAGGGUUCUGCUGCUGCAGUGAGAAGUGAGCGACUCACAGUCCUCGCUUCUGUGUUACUUCCCUUCCAGAGGAAGGCGGCACAGUGGGAAUUGGUCUAAUGUGAGAGAUGGAGCUUGGGAAAUGUGUGGGUGCCAUGGGGCUGUGGGAGAGGAUAGAACACUAAUAUCCUGGGGUGUCAACUGAUUCAAGGUAACUCUCCCUGUCACCACAGAACCCAGUGUCCAACAUGAUGUUCUAAUGCCUGUGUGUGUGUCUUCUUGAAAGAAGGGAGAUCUAGGUGUGGAGACAAGAGUGUUGAAAUACAAUACAAACACAGGAAAGCUGUUUCACUGCGUAAAUAUUACAACAGGAGUAUCUCACCCAGCCAGUCUUCCAUUAAAUUGUUACAUUUAUAAUUUGUAGAAUGAAAAUAAAAUCACACCAUUGCACUAUCCUUCUUGAUCUAAUUCCUUCUCUCUCCCUCAGAAUGAUGAUGGCAUGUUUUCAUUAUUGGCAGGUGUUUACAGAAACCUACUGUAGGCUGUGCCUGUUCAGUGAUGCUCGCAUGUGUGUUACAGGUCUGAGUCCUAGGUACUGGAUAACCAGAGACUCCAACAAAUGGCAAAGAUACAAACCAUGGACAGAGGUACAACGAUCUUGAGGAGGAGGUCUGAGCAUACAGAUGUGCUGUAUACAUGGAGCUCCCUGGCUUCCAGUUUCUGAGUACAAAUGAAAACAUUGCCGCUGCAGGGACUGGAGUCCUCAGGGAUGAGCAGAUGGCAGCCCCCGGGUGCUUUUCCUACCUUCCCUGGAGAAGCCAUGCGUGCUGGUCUAAUGUGGCCAUUCAAACAGGAAUGGAUCCUUCUUCAUUACCUAUGCUGGAUGCUGAGUCCUGGCCGAGAGACACCUGUGCAGCUUCAUCCCAAGGCCUCUCUGCCCGCACUAGGCAGAUGACCACAUGCUCCCAGAUGCAGAAUCCCCCAACAAAAAGGAAUCAUCUUCCCAGGAAGUUCUCCAGAAAAGACCAAGGGAAACUCACUGACCUGGCUUGAGUCGAUGGCUUGCCACAACCAAUCAGACCUUAAUAUUGAUGGCUUCAAGGAAGAGGAAAACAGGUUACACACAACAAGGGCAGCUGCACAUAAAAUAUGUGUAGUAGAUUCCUCAUGAAUGAAUUUCUGGUAGUAAAAGAAAGGGGGAAAAUACAGGACAGGAAGAGAGAAGAUGUUCCUGCCAUCAUUCCCAUCAAGGCAUGCAGCUGAAGGAAUACUGUCCCUGGCUCUAUUUUUUGGAUAAUGAAGACACCUAAUUCCUAAAUGAGGGAAAAACAGAGAUGAAGAAACUGGAACAGAGAGAAAGAAAAGGACACGUUGAAGGUCAGGAAGGCAGCUGAACUAAAAGCCCAGCAGCUCAUCUCACACAGCCCGUCGUCGCCAUUACACGGCUACUUCUCCCAACUUCCUCGAGGAUCAAAAUUGCAGGGUAAAGGCUCCUUGAGCAUACAGAGAUGUGGUAAAUUUCCAGACUGCUCUCCUCCUCCAAUCUGUGAGAUGUUGUCAUCUCCUACUGCACUUCCUCCAUCAAAAGCAGAGCAGCAAGAAUGGUUUCUUUGAGAACUGGAAAAACAGGGCUUUAGCAUGGAGGUUCAGUCAUGUAACUCAACCGCCUUUCUCUAAGGCUUGAAGAGGAAGCUGUUGGCUGUUCUAGGCCCUUUAAAGGAUUUUCUUCAUAAAUCUGAUUGGAUUCUCUCCUUCCCAAGUACGGAAAAGAUUCAUCUAAGGACUCUGAUGUUUCUUCAAUAAAUCCAGGCUCCUCCAUUGACUCGAAUCUAGAGACUCCUCCAGGCUCCAAGUUAUUCUCACCUUCAGACAUUGUCUUGACUGGCAGCUCUUCCACCAACUUCAAGACUAUAACUCUACUUUUUUAAUGUGCUUUUUUCCUAUGAACCUAUAAGACAGAUGUUGAUAUUAAAAUAAGCAUAAUAAAGAUGUUGAAAUUA